rnacentral:rRNA from 1 species
AUUGAACGCUGGCGGCAGGCCUAACACAUGCAAGUCGAGCGGAUGAAGGGAGCUUGCUCCUGGAUUCAGCGGCGGACGGGUGAGUAAUGCCUAGGAAUCUGCCUGGUAGUGGGGGAUAACGUCCGGAAACGGGCGCUAAUACCGCAUACGUCCUGAGGGCGAAAGUGGGGGAGCUUCGGACCUCACGCUAUCAGAUGAGCCUAGGUCGGAUUAGCUAGUUGGUGGGGUAAAGGCCUACCAAGGCGACGAUCCGUAACUGGUCUGAGAGGAUGAUCAGUCACACUGGAACUGAGACACGGCCCAGACUCCUACGGGAGGCAGCAGUGGGGAAUAUUGGACAAUGGGCGAAAGCCUGAUCCAGCCAUGCCGCGUGUGUGAAGAAGGUCUUCGGAUUGUAAAGCACUUUAAGUUGGGAGGAAGGGCAGUAAGUUAAUACCUUGCUGUUUUGACGUUACCAACAGAAUAAGCACCGGCUAACUUCGUG